AUUCCCACUCUUUCUAGAGAGUUGAACCUAAUAUUGAUUCCUCUGCAGAUAACAAGCCCUGUCUUCACCUCUCUUAAUAAUUGUACAGAUGCUGAUUAAGCAACUAUUUUCCUGCUAUCCAUUUUGCCGGGCUGCACAAUAUGUCCUUUUAUCUCUGAUGAAUAGUUUGUC